UACGAAGGGGGGCGAGCGUUGUUCGGAAUCACUGGGCGUAAAGGGCGCGUAGGCGGCCCUCUUUGUCGCGUGUGAAAGCCCCGGGCUCAACCUGGGAACGGCGCGCGAAACGGGGGGGGCUGGAGUUCGGGAGAGGAGAGUGGAAUUCCCAGUGUAGAGGUGAAAUUCGUAGAUAUUGGGAAGAACACCGGUGGGCGAAGGCGGCUCUCUGGACCGAGACUGACGCUGAGGCGCGAAAGCGUGGGGAGCAAACAGG
rnacentral:rRNA from 1 species